rnacentral:lncRNA from 1 species
GGACUCUGUUCUCUAUUAUGCAAGAGUGAACUUAGGUAUCUGAUCAUGAAUGUUUUACUCUAAUAAUGAAAGACAAUGUUUUCAUACCUUUUCUUUCAUGGGUAAAAGACUUUAGUUUUUAGAGACUUUUAGUUAACAAUGUUCUUAAUGUUCGUUUGUUUUUGGUUUUUGUUUUUAAAUAGAUAUAGAGUCUCAUUAUGUUGCCCCGGCUGGACUCAAACUCCUGGACUCAAGAGAUUUUCCUGCCUCAGACUCUCAAAUAGCUGGAACUGCAGGCAUAUAUCAUCACACCUGUCUCAGAUGACAGUUUUAAUCAAAUGGCUUUCCUAGUUUCUUGAGUUGUGAACUUCUUUGACUCUAUUAAAUUUUAUAAAUAAACCCAAUAUGCAAAAGAUAAAAACAC